AGAGUUUGAUCCUGGCUCAGGACGAACGCUUGCGGCGCGCCUAACACAUGCAAGUCGAACGAGAGAUGAGGAGCUUGCUCUUCAAAUCGAGUGGCGAACGGGUGAGUAACGCGUGAGGAACCUGCCUCAAAGAGGGGGACAACAGUUGGAAACGACUGCUAAUACCGCAUAAGCCCACGGCUCGGCAUCGAGCAGAGGGAAAAGGAGCAAUCCGCUUUGAGAUGGCCUCGCGUCCGAUUAGCUAGUUGGUGAGGUAACGGCCCACCAAGGCGACGAUCGGUAGCCGGACUGAGAGGUUGAACGGCCACAUUGGGACUGAGACACGGCCCAGACUCCUACGGGAGGCAGCAGUGGGGAAUAUUGCACAAUGGGGGAAACCCUGAUGCAGCGACGCCGCGUGGAGGAAGAAGGUCUUCGGAUUGUAAACUCCUGUUGUUGAGGAAGAUAAUGACGGUACUCAACAAGGAAGUGACGGCUAACUACGUGCCAGCAGCCGCGGUAAAACGUAGGUCACAAGCGUUGUCCGGAAUUACUGGGUGUAAAGGGAGCGCAGGCGGGAGAACAAGUUGGAAGUGAAAUCCAUGGGCUCAACCCAUGAACUGCUUUCAAAACUGUUUUUCUUGAGUAGUGCAGAGGUAGGCGGAAUUCCCGGUGUAGCGGUGGAAUGCGUAGAUAUCGGGAGGAACACCAGUGGCGAAGGCGGCCUACUGGGCACCAACUGACGCUGAGGCUCGAAAGUGUGGGUAGCAAACAGGAUUAGAUACCCUGGUAGUCCACACCGUAAACGAUGAUUACUAGGUGUUGGAGGAUUGACCCCUUCAGUGCCGCAGUUAACACAAUAAGUAAUCCACCUGGGGAGUACGACCGCAAGGUUGAAACUCAAAGGAAUUGACGGGGGCCCGCACAAGCAGUGGAGUAUGUGGUUUAAUUCGACGCAACGCGAAGAACCUUACCAAGUCUUGACAUCCUGCGACGCACAUAGAAAUAUGUGUUUCCUUCGGGACGCAGAGACAGGUGGUGCAUGGUUGUCGUCAGCUCGUGUCGUGAGAUGUUGGGUUAAGUCCCGCAACGAGCGCAACCCUUAUCCUCAGUAGCCAGCAUUUAAGGUGGGCACUCUGGGGAGACUGCCAGGGAUAACCUGGAGGAAGGCGGGGAUGACGUCAAAUCAUCAUGCCCCUUAUGAUUUGGGCUACACACGUGCUACAAUGGCGUAAACAAAGGGAAGCGAACCUGCGAGGGUGGGCAAAUCCCAAAAAUAACGUCCCAGUUCGGACUGUAGUCUGCAACCCGACUACACGAAGCUGGAAUCGCUAGUAAUCGCGGAUCAGAAUGCCGCGGUGAAUACGUUCCCGGGUCUUGUACACACCGCCCGUCA
rnacentral:rRNA from 1 species